AAAAAAAAAAACAAAAACAAAAAUCGAUACAAAAAAAAAGUUUUGGCUUGAAUCAGUUCUGAAGAGAAAUCCAGGGAGAGUGGUGGAAGAGAAACCCUCCUGGCUGAAGAGAAACCCAGCCUUAGGACAGUUAAGGCGGAUCCAUAUCAAAAAUCUCUUCAUCUUUCUUUCUCUUUUCUUUUUCCCACAAAAGUUUGUUUUGGGUUUUGAUUGCUG
rnacentral:lncRNA from 1 species